rnacentral:lncRNA from 1 species
GAUCUAUUGCUGAGGAUGUAAUGAGAGUCAAGUUUGCCAACACAGUCACUCCAUUAUCUAAGUCAUUGCUCCAUAAACUGCUUUGAGUUCUUUCAUCCCUGGUCUCUAUUAUUUGUGGCCUAAGACUCUUACAAGCCUUGUGCUCUUCUUGUGGAUUGUCUGAUGGAUUUAGCAUUAGAGAAAAGCAGACAUCUAUCUUGAGGUGCAUUAAUUCAGAGCAAAGCCUCCUUACUGCUGAUGGUACGGUGAAGAUCGGGAGGGUGUUGGUUACUCAGGCAGUUGCAGCGCUGGAUUAAAAACAAGCCAGGCUGGUACAGAUCCAGGGUAAAGAGUGCUAGCUGAGAAAAAAUGAAA